rnacentral:lncRNA from 1 species
UCAGCGCUCCUUGGAAAGCCCCACCGCAUCACCCCAGGAGCUGAGGGGCACCCGUCCUCCCCUUCAGUCAUUAGGAACUCGGACUUUCAGUUCCUCUGUCUCAAAACCUUGCCAGCCAUCUGGGCACUAUCUUGGAGGAGGUUUCUCCCUGACUGGCGUUUGGGAGGUUCUGGACAGUGGCUGAAGAAGGCUGCAGAUGGGGAGCUUGGCGCCUGGCCACCACAGCCCGUCUCUGGCUUCUCUCAUCUGAAAGAUGGGGUCAUCCAACCCCCGGACAAGAGUUGUGAGGGUGAACUGAGACUGCACACAGCACAGGUGCCAAACAGGAACCAACAAAGGCCGUUUGUGAUGGCUGUUGAUGCUGCUUUGAUAGAAUUGACCUCAAAGAAGCCAUUUGAUUUUGGGGUGGUGACGAGUGUGCUUCAUGUGAAUAAAAAGCCACAUGUGCAUGGUUCUUUGGCAGCAGGGGAAGUCCAGACACGCGUGAACGAUUUCUUGAGUGUAGAAGAGAGUCCCGAAUUCGAGGUGACAAGAAUUGCAUUUGAGAAAGUCUUCAGGCUCCACCGGUAAUUCUCAGUGGGGCUUAGCAAGGCGUUUCAAAGACCAGGAAAGGGAAAGUGUAAACACCGGAGCAGCACAAAAUGCAGCCCAAGGACGGCUAGGCCAGGGAUCCUCAGGGCUUCAGGGCAGACGCCGGACGUGGCUUCCAGACCUCUCAAGACCACAAGAGACUGUGCUGUUUGAUUCUCCAAGAUGGCUCUCGGCAUGUUGUUUAAUGUAAUUUACAUACAACAUCACCAAUUUUAAGUGUACAACUCAAUAGUUUUGACAAACGUUUUCAGCCAUGUAACCGUGACCACAAUCAAGAUAUGAAACUUUUCUGUCACGGUAAACACUUUCCUGGGGACUCUUUACAGCCAGUUCCCUUUGCGCGCUCGGUCACUGCAACCGCGGAUGUGCUUCUAGUUGUGCCUGCUGUGGGCUCUGGAUCUGACUCCGUGCUUCGCCCUCAGCUUCGCGUCACAUCCUGCAGUCCUGGCUGCCUCUGCCUCCUUGAACUCUGAUCGACCCCUCAACCCAGUAGGUCUGCUGGUUUCAGCUUGGGUCCCCCUCCUGUGCUGUGGCCUGGAAACUCCCUCAGGAAGGUAGCUGGGACAACUGUGGGCCUCCCCUGGGGACCUUCCUGUAUCAGGAGUCACAGUCCUGGACCCUGGGUCCAAUGGCUGUACAAGAGUUUACCCACUUUGUUUGGUUUUCAGUUGUUUAGGCGAGGAGGACAAUUUCUGUAGCAGCUGACCCUUCGAGAGCAGAAGUGCGAGUGUUCUGACUCCUAGCUGGCUACCUGCCUGAUGAUCGCGUGUUCCCUGGAGCCACCAGAAGAAAGCGCUUCAGGUGCAUUCGGGCAGCUGGCCCCUCCCCUGAGGCAGGUGUUCAGUUUGAGUUAAAAUGGAACAGUUGUGUUUCCGGUUUGAAACUCACUGCCUCCUCGAGGCGUGAAGAAAUAUACAGAUGCCUUUUAGUCAUAAUCAUUCAUUUUGAAGUAAUUUCAAAUUUGGUGAAAAGUUGCAGGACCAGUUGUACAAAGAACUCUCAUGAUUGUCAGCUGUCCCAACAGAGUCUCUGUUCCGUCUCUGCUCCAGGACCAAGCCAGGCCAAUGGGUUGCAUUCAGCAAUCAUGUCUCCUCCGUCUCCUUCGGUCUGGGACAGCCCCUCAGUCUUUUCUGCUCAUGCAAAUCCCCGACAGUUUUAAAGGGGACAGGCCUCUCGUUCUGGGGCAGAUUCCUCAGUCUGAGUCCAGCAAAUCUUCCUAGCCUCCAGACUUGGGCCUUGCUUUCUUGGCAGAAAUCAUGUAAAAAUGACACUAGAUUCUUUCAAUGUACCAUGUCGAGGAGCACACGAUGUCAAUCGUCCCACCACUGUUGAUUUAAUUUUAGUCACCUGCUUACAUUGUUGUCUGCCAACUUUCUCGAUAAAAGCACUGUUUUACCCUUUGUAACCCGUGGGCACAUGUUCUGAGGCCGUGCCAAUAUCCACAGGUGCAUUUUCCAGGGAGUAAACCAUCUGUGAUCUAACUUUGCCCUAAAGAAUAACAACGAUAGGGGCUGCCCCAUGGCCGAGCAGUUGGGUUCAUGCACUCCGCUGUGGCGGCCCGGGGUUUCACUGGUUUGGACCUGGCGCUGCUCCUCAGGCCACACUGAGGUGGCAUCCCGCUUGGUAGAGCUAGAAAGACCUACAACUAGAAUAUACACCUAUGUACUGUGGGGCUCUGGGGAGAAGAAGAAAAAAAAGAGAUUGGCAACAGAUGUUAGCUCAGGGCCAAUCUUUAAAAAAAAAAAAGUGAAUAACAACAAUAGAGCAGGAGCUAUCAUCCAAUGAGCAUCUGUUGUAUGCCAGGCACCACGCCAAGCACAUCACACAUCUUAAUUUAAUCCUCACAUUCUGUGUGUUAGGUACCACUUUCAUUCCCGUCUACAGAUGAGGAAACUAUCUGUGGCGAUGGUUUUGGAGUAGCACACAUCAAUGCUACCUACUCAGUCUCCUUGAGUACUAAAAGAUUUUUUCCACUGAGUGCAAAAAAACUAUAGAAGACGUUAGGCAAGGAAGCGUUAAAGGCACCAAGCAGAAGCGGUUGAAUUUUUCCCUUGUAGCUCUCAGGAUCCUGUUUUUGGCAGCUAAUAACCCAGAGGUUGCAUUUGAGGCUUUAGUAGCUAAUACGCCUUAAAAUCUGCAGGUGUUUUAAAACUGGGUCAAAGACAUUUAUUUAAAGCCACUGAAGUUGUCAAAAAUAAACCCCACUAAACCUCAUUAUUUCUACCCA